rnacentral:lncRNA from 1 species
UGUGGGUAUUCAUAGAUUGAUAAUAUAUUAAUUUAUUUCCUUUAUCAUGGUAGCUACAACAUUUGAGUACAUAGCAUAAAAUCACGAAUAAUAGUUUUACAUGAUUUCUUUACCAUCUUUAGCACAAAAACAACGACCGUUUCUACAAUAACAACAUACUGGGAAAACUCCUCCUUGACAAAAACAAUCAUUGUCUACUUUACAUGGCCCCCCGGCAUUAAUUCCUAUUUUUUGAUCCACAGCUUUAUCCUCCAAACCUGA